rfam:Otolemur garnettii contig077743, whole genome shotgun sequence.
GGUUGAUCCAAAGGUAGUGAAUUAUUUCAAUUGAUUGUUCACAGUCAGUUAUAGAUCCUCUUCUACUCUGUCCAUCUUCUCACUAUUGCACUUGAGUACUAUUUU